UGCGGAAGUGGCGGAAUUGGUAUACGCGCUAUCUUGAGGUGGUAGUGGAGCUUUCCUUAGGGGUUCGAGUCCCCUCUUUCGCAA
rnacentral:tRNA from 37 species